AAAAUAACAUUUUAGUUCAAUGUUAGUUUUGUCUUGGACCAAAGAUACUAUUUACUGCCCAAAACAGCAAUUCAAAUCUGCUGAAACACCUACAAAAGCAACAUGCUUCGACAAAGCUAGUAAAGAGAGAGACGCUUCCCCUCCAACACCAUUUAGACACAGAGGGCGUUCAUCUGAUCGUGGUUAUGAACAGAGAGGGCGUUCACCUGACCGUGGCUGGCACGAGCGGUGUGUAGAAGGAGGGCCCAGGGAGAAACAGGACUUUUGCGGCCCCGACAACAACCGAGCUAACUCCCCAAAUUGGCGGGGUUGAAGGCCUGCUAGGAGCCCCUCUAAUGAGGUGUGCAUUUUCUCUCCCACAGGAGGGAAGACUAUACAUAUAAGUUGGGAAAAGAGAUGUAGCUGAUGUUGCAGCCCAAACAUCAGCUACAGAAUCUAUGGGCCCUAUGGAGGGAGGGAUGUUUUUUCCUCCAUGAGUAAUGCAAUGAUACCGGACAAGACAGAACAGGGAACCUCAUAUCCCUGCAUAAGCGGCCCCUAACGGUGGACUUUGUUGCUUCACGGGCGGUGAAUGGACAGAUGCUCGACACACUGGGCACCAUAACAGUGACUCUGCAUCUGGAGAAGACCUCCCGGCAGCAGGUUUUCCACGUCAUUAGGGGUCCACACAAACAGCGCUACUAGGCUUGGACUUUCUUGUCACAAAUCACGCCCUCCUGGAUUCUGCCUGUGGUCAACUGCACAUAUGGGACAUUGUACUUCCACUCCUGACUGGCAAAGACCUGAUCCCGGAGUGUUUCCAUCGCCACUGUCAUUACACUGCCCCCCCUCAGCGAGAUGCUGGUGCCUGUGAGUGUGUCCCCACCUGGGCCCGUUGAUCAGCUUCCUGAUUUUGUUGGCUACUUAUCACCCAACCUUAAAGGCAAAAGUGAGUGUGUCAUAGCUCACACGGUGGCAUCUGUAAAAGACGGGGUUACCACAGCCCGUGUGUUGAACCCUACACAUCAGGACGUUAUACUGAGAGAAGGCGUGCACCUGGGGUGGUUUUUCUCUAUUGAUGAGGCCGAGAUCGUGACACUUCUUCAGGUUCCAACGGAGACUAUCCCUGCCAUUUCAUCCAGUGAGGUGCCUGUUGUGUCAUCGGAGGAAUCUUCCGCUAGCCAGCAACAGAAGGCACCACUGGUUGGACUGCUGGCCGAGCAUCAGGGGAUAUUCAACCAAUCAAAAGGGGGGACUGGCAGGUGCACACUUAUCCAACAUCACUUCAAAAGACCAGUGAUCCUCCUCCUCUGCGGCAGCACGGAUACCGGACUUCACCAGAAAAUAGAGAGGAAAUAGACAGUCAGGUGACCGCCCUGUUGGUGGACGGGAUGAUUGAGGAAAGCUGCAGCCCAUGGGCCUUGCCUGUGGUCCUGGUAAAGAAGAAGAAUGGUAGGUGGAGAUUCCGCAUCGACUAUCGUGAAAGAUUCUCAUCCGCUCCCCAGGGUGGAUGAGACCGUGAAUGCACUGGCGGGCUCCCUGUGGUUCAGCAUGUUGGACUUUACUAACAGAUAUUGGUAGAUCGAGGUCGCUAAGGGAGACAGGGAGAAAACUGCCUUCACUUCGGGCCAGGGCCUCUACCAGUGGUGGUCUAUGCCGAUGGGCCUUACUAACUCUCCUGCAACAUGUCAGCGCAUGAUGGAGCUGGUGCUCUGAGGGCUCCCAUGGCAGGUGUGUGUGGUGUACCUUGACAACAUUUUUGUAUACAGUCCCACCAAUUGAGGCCCAUCUCACCUGUCUGCGUGAAGUUUUCUCCAGGAUCCAUGCAGCUGGCCUCAGGGUGAAUCAUGAGAAUAACACUCGGCUCGAGAUCAUGUAGUGUUCCUGGGACAUAUUUCUUGCCACGGCUUACAGCCCGACCCUCCAAACACGGAUAAAGUCAGAACCUGGCCAACACCACAGAACCCAACCGAAGUGAGAGCCUUUGUGGGCUUUUUCUCCUACUACACUUUUUUAAAAAACUUUUCCCAGUGUGCAGCCCCUCUUCACCGCCUCACCUGCAACGGCACACCUUUCAAAUGGACAAGUGAGUGUGACACAGCCUUUAAGUACCUGAAGGGGGUGCUUUCAUCUGCUCCAGUUGUCACCGUGCCUGACUUUAACAAUCCCUUUCCAGGUGUACACAGACGCCUCCUUGGAAGUAGUGGGGGCCAUGUUGGUGUAGCCGAGCUAAAUUUUAUUUUAUUUUAUUUUAUUUUUGGUCAUUUACUCACAUCAUUGUCUGUUGUGAACUUCUCCAAAAGUGUCUCUUAUUGUAAAUAGGUUCCACUCUAUUAUUUUUCGUCACAUACCUUUUUGUUUUCCUGGGAGGUGAUUUGGCGUCGCACCUGUGUGACUAGCUUCAGUGAGCUCUGACGCUCGGACCUGGUAAGUCAUGUUUGUGUCUUUCCCUUUAUUUUUAUUAUAAACUUUUUGGUUGUCGCUCUUAAAGUAUUGUAUAAGAAUACACACUGUCUUGUGACGUGCUGUUAAGCAUGCGGGUUGAAUUCCCAAACUUUCUGUUUGUUAGAUUGUUGUAAAAACCGGACUCCUAUAUGUUAAAUGAUAUGUGGAUUAGUUUAAUGCUAGCGGCAGUUAUUACGGGGUUUACUGGUCUCGUGAGUUUGUGCCCGGGUCAAAACUCUGCUGCGUGUCUUGGUGGACAUCUUGUGUGCCCCUGUGGCAUUAAUAAUAGUGUGCAUUAUAUAUUUCUUUAUUCUGUGGUGGACAGAAAUCCUGUGUACUGUGGACUGUGUGUGACGCCCUCUUCUUUUUGUUUCUAUCAAAACAAAGGUAAGUCUGUUUUUUGGCAUAGUUUAUUGUAGGAACAUAUAAAAUGAGUUGAUGUGAGUUGGAAAAAUGAGGUGAAUUGCUGAACAUAUUAAAGAUCCUUUUCUUAAUAUAUAUUUUGUUAUUUGCUGAUGUAUAUAUUUUAUAUACUGGUUUUUAUGUAAUUAAUUUAUUUGAGACUGUUUUAUGCUUUAUUUACCUUUUAUUAUUAUUACUAUUAUUAUUAUUUCAUUUAUUAUUAUUAUUACUAUUUCAACAUGUAAGCAUAAAUAAUUGAAUUCAUGAGCCAGAGUGAGCACUGACGCUCGGAGCUGUGGAGAGAAAUCCUGUGUACUUUGGACUGUGUGUGACGCCCUGUUCUUUUUGUUUCUAUCAAAAAAUGGUGAAUAAAUCCUCCAUGACUCAA